GAUCCGGUGGCCGAGGGGUUUAGGCCGGCGCCUGCAAAGCGUCUCACGCCAGUUCGAGUCUGGCCCGGAUCU
rnacentral:tRNA from 1 species